rfam:Penicillium marneffei ATCC 18224 scf_1105668340984 genomic scaffold, whole genome shotgun sequence.
GGCAACUUGGCUGAGUGGUUAAAGCGAUUGACUAGAAAUCAAUUCCAUUCGUGGGCGCAUGUUCGAAUCAUGCAGUUGUCG